rnacentral:rRNA from 1 species
UACAGGGGGUGCAAACGUUGCUCGGAAUCAUUGGGCGUAAAGCGCACGUAGGCGGUCUGUUAUGUCGGAUGUGAAAGCCCUCGCUUAACUGAGGAAGUGCGCCCGAAACUGCUUUGCUUGAGUGCCGGAGAGGAUGGCGGAAUUCCCCAAGUAGAGGUGAAAUUCGUAGAUAUGGGGAGGAACACCGGUGGCGAAGGCGGCCAUCUGGACGGUAACUGACGCUGAGACGCGAAAAGCGUGGGGAGCAAACAGGG